UACAGAGGGUGCUAGCGUUGUUCGGAAUCAUUGGGCGUAAAGAGCGUGUAGGCGGCUUGUUAAGUCUUGCGUGAAAUCUCGGGGCUCAACCCCGAGCGGUCGUGAGAAACUGGCAGGCUAGAGUGCGGGAGAGGAGAGUGGAAUUCCUGGUGUAGCGGUGAAAUGCGCAGAUAUCAGGAAGAACACCCGUGGCGAAGGCGGCUCUCUGGAACGCAACUGACGCUGAGACGCGAAAGCGUGGGGAGCAAACAGG
rnacentral:rRNA from 1 species